rnacentral:rRNA from 1 species
UCGAGGAUCUUUAGCAAUGCCCGAAAGGGUGACUAUGCGACGCCGCGUGAAGGAUGAAGUAUUUCGGUAUGUAAACUUCGAAAGAAUAGGAAGAAUAAAUGACGGUACUAUUUAUAAGGUCCGGCUAACUACGUGCCAGCAGCCGCGGUAAUACGUAGGGACCAAGCGUUGUUCGGAUUUACUGGGCGUAAAGGGCGCGUAGGCGGCAUGACAAGUCACUUGUGAAAUCUCUGGGCUUAACCCAGAACGGCCAAGUGAUACUGUCGCGCUAGAGUGCAGAAGGGGCAAUCGGAAUUCUUGGUGUAGCGGUGAAAUGCGUAGAUAUCAAGAGGAACACCUGAGGUGAAGACGGGUUGCUGGGCUGACACUGACGCUGAGGCGCGAAAGCCAGGGGAGCAAACGGGAUUAGAUACCCCAGUAGUCCCUGAGCGGGCUGGCAAGGCGCAU